rnacentral:lncRNA from 1 species
CAGAAGGUCAGAAAAGAAGUGGGAGGAGUGCGACAACGGGGGGAUUGGUGGAAGGCAGAGGCUGCCCUUUGGCAGCAGAAGAAACGUGAGGAAGGAGAGCAGCACGGACAGGGGGAGGGAAAACAGGAGCUGCCUUCGGGCAGCGUAAGAACACAGGGGGGAUGCUGGCGUGACAGCUGCUUUGCAGCUGGUCAGAGGGAAGCUGCCAGCGCAGCUGGGGAAAGAAGGUGAGACGGACAGCAAAGCAUGAAAACGCAGAUAAAGGGAGAAGACAGGGGGGAGCUGAGAGAGCAGCUCAGUGGAAACGCAGACAGAGAUCUUCACCUCUCUUUCGGUUUAAUCUCUCUAAACUUCUAUUUUAUUUCUGUUUUAAUAAUGUGUAAUUAAAUUUAUUUUGGCUAGAGGUUAAUUCAAAGCCAUGAAUAUAUUUGUAAUAUGAAUUGAUUACCUUCGGUUGUGAUUUCAUAAGUUGUGAUUUCAAUUUACUUAUCCGUUCGUAUAAAAACUGAUUUGUGUAUGUUGGUUGAGAGUGCACGCUUAAUUUACAUGCAUGAAUUUGAUGCUAGAAUAUAAGUGAAUUUCACCUAAUCGUUAUGAACUUAUUUUCACAAGUAGUAAAGGUUGCUAGUCACAAUCACGUUAAGUAAAUUCUUGGCAAGAGUAUCAUGCUUUUCAUAGUUACGAAUGACUCGUCAAUGCUUAUAGUUUUCACAAAGUUUAAUGAUCUUUGAUUGUAUCUCUAUUGUACUUUUCACGUAGGGGACUUUUGAAGAAUGUUUUGAAUUGUUGUAUGCGUUUUCCCGUCCAAUUCAAUAACUUAAGGAAAACUUGAAGAUUAAAAAAGUGUUGUUCACGGUUAAUCUGAAGUGUUGAGAUUCAUAAUUCAUUGAAAGAACAACUGAAAAUUAAUUUAGGUUGCAUAUGUGUCAUGUGUGGAGAAGAACCCUUUAGCUAGUCUGUCAUUUAUCAUUUUACCUUAAUUUUAUGCUUUUGUCAAUUCUGUAAUUUAAUUAAGUUUAAUUUACUUUUCAUCAAAACCAAACACCCAUCCAUUAUUAAAUUAUAUUAUUUAGUUAGUUUUCUUUAUUGUUAGUCUUUUAAUUUAAUUUCCGUCCAUUUCAGUUCCUAGUGUUUAAAUUGAGUGUUUCCAUUAUUUUGAGUCAUUUUAAGAGUGUUUCGAGUUAUUAGAAUUUUUAGCCUAGUUUUAUGUCCUUGAGUCUUGUUUAAUAUUUUUAAAUUAAUUUAGAAUAGAUUAGCAAUCCCUCCUAAUCCCCGGCCUAGAACGAUACCCUACUUACAUCUAUACUACAAUUGUCAAAAAGAGGGUUUAAUUUGUGUGUCAAGUAAUUUUCACAUCAAAUUUUGGCGCCGUUGCCGGGGAUUAGCAACUUUGCUAAUCCUUUUAUUUUUGUUUUUGUUUAUGUUUAUAUUGGUGUUUGUGUAUUUUACUUUUGAUAUUUGAUUUAUUUUUCUUUCUUUGAUUUUAGGUUCAAAUGGAGCCGAGGGAAAUUUAAAGGAAAGAUGCGUCCGGCUAAAGACGUUAAAUCAAGCGCUUCUUGGGAGGCAACCCAAGCAUCAUUCAACGAAGGGAGACUUUGGAAUCACUAACCCAAUCAGCUUUGCAUUCUUCCACCCUUAUCUUUACUGCUUUCAUUUUGUUUUGUUUAGUUAGUUGUGUUAUUUGGUUGAUUUCUGUGAGUUUGUGUUAUUUAGUUUAAGUGUGGGGGAAGGUUAACCAAAGUCUCUUUACAUUAAUUUACAUAUAUAUAUAAAAAAAAAAAAAAAAAAGAAGAUAAAAUUUAAAAUUAAAUAAAAAAAAAAAAAAAAAUACAAAUAUUUUACAAUGAUGUAAAUUAAUAGUAUUCAUUGGUCGGGCAGGGCUUCAGCAGUCGGCGGGGCCACAGAAGGAGGAGGCGGCAGAGGUUGAUCAGUUGGAGCUUCACUACGCGGUGCCGCUCCAGAAGACGAAGGCAGAUGUUGUUGGAAUAAACCCACAAACCUCCGAUGAUCAAGUAAAAUUUGACCAUCGGUGUCCUGCAUCUGGUCAAUCUUCCUCUUCAUGCUGGUGGCAUAGCUGUGUGCGAGCUUGUGCAAUUGUUUAUUUUCAUGCUUGAGUCCUUUAAUCUCCUCUUUGAGACUCUGUAUUUCAGCCACCAACGAUUCAACAUGACGGGUUCGGGCAAAUAGGCGUUGGGCCAUGUUGGACACGGAACCGGCACACUGCACGCUAAGAGCCAGAGACUCCUUCACAGCCAACUCAUCAGACCGUCUAGCGAGCAGUCUGUUAUCUCUGGGAGUGACAAGGUUUCGGGCCACCACCGCAGCGGUCAUGUCAUUUUUUAUCACCGAAUCCCCCACGGUAAGAGGACCGGUAGGGGAUAUGAAGGUUGGUCGCCAUAUGUUGUCUGGUGAAGGCGGAGCUGCCUCUUCACCAAUGUUCAAGUCAAAACGACGAUCAGAAGGGCCAGACAUUUUUAAGAGGUGGUGAAGAAAGAAGAGAGUCGGAAUGAUCAAGAUUAAACAAGUGCAAGAAGGGAGUGUUUACAGGAGGGUGCUCAAGUGUGUUGUGGAACAAAAUUAACGCCUCUAUAAAAAGAAGAAAUCAAAGAGGCGCUCCUCAGAGAAGCGUCCUCUCGCAAAUCGAAGAGUCGGGGCUCGUUUCUCAAACGCCUGAUUCUUUUCUCAAAAGAGGCGUUUCAUUUCUUAAAAGUUGAGCUUGCUCAGAAACCACGAGCCGAACCCCGGAUUUCGCAAAAUCAAUUUGUCCAGACGUGUUGUCACUCGUCACAUGCAACCGGUAGCUUUGCGGAAAUCACGGGCAGUUUGUCGAAGCACCAAUUCAGAAAUCAAAGAGGGAAAUUCAACAGUCAAUGACACGCUAGCUUUCUCAAAAGCUGGGCUUCAACCCACGGGCAAAUCUUCUUUUCCAGAUUUAUCCGCACGUGUCACAUGCUACCUCUACAAUCGACGAUGCUCAGAGCUCGAAGCGCCGAUUCCAGAUAUCAAUGAGGAAUUUGCUUUGCGGAAAUUACGGGCAGCUUUGUCAGAAAGCGCGUAAUUUGUACUAUUCAUCCAUCUACCGGCUGCCGACACUAAGUGAGAUAACAGUUCCGGUUGUGAAGACAAGUCCUAUAAGUUUCUACCUUCGCCUUCCACAGCAAAAGCACACUCUCUCAGCACACCCUCUCAACACUUCUUCAUCUCCGAAAAUGCAUUCCCAAAGAAUCCUCCUAAGUUACUAUGUGUUCCUCAUUCCUUGGGAUACUCCUGCGAACAACCCAUUCAAAGCAAAAGUAUUUCAUAUCAUGAAGGUUGAAAGCAAGAGUAUCUCAUAUCAUGCUUUCUCCCUGUCCUUUCUCCAGCCAGCACCUGCUCUCGAGUACUCAUCAUCUUGUGCUUUCGCUUUGUUUCUCACUUAUAAGGGAAGUGAAGAUGAUACCUCGAAGCAUGUGGAGACAACGUGCUGAUUCAUCCUCAACUAAGGACAAGGAGAAAGAGAGCAAGAGGUGGGCACUUGGAAAGAUUGAAGAAAGAAACAGACCAACACCUCUCCCUCGUGCCUGCCCGUUGUGCAGAAGAAACAAGCAGAGAAGAAUGCAGCUUGCACAAUCAUCCCAGCGGAAGGAGUCCGAGCUGAGGAACUAGAGAAGCUGCCACAUCUGCUUGGAGAACAAAUAAGGAACUGCAACAUUCCCAAAGAGCAAAGCCUCGCCGUACAAUAUCAUCAAAUCAUCACUUGCAAGUGAAAAGCUAAGUGUCACCCUGUUCAAGAGGAAAGCUGUGGAAAGUCAACAAGCACGACCAAUGAUUACUUAUUAGUUUUAUUCAUUAUCUUUUAUCGUAAUUUUCAAUUUUUCGUUUGCAAUUUUUUUAAUUAAUUUUCUUGCGUACUUAACUGAAUUUUUCCUUUUCUUUGCAGGAACUUUUGGUUAUUUCCACCCUUGAAGUUGAUUGCAGAAUUUUAGCUUGGGGGUCAUCGCUUGAUUUUACUGCAAAUUAGGGAAGUUUUCAGUCCAAUUGUUUUAUUUUGUUUCUUAUUAUUUAUUUAUUUUAUUUUAUUUUUUAUUUGCAUUAUAGUGUUUUCUGACAUUGGGGACAAUGUCAAGUUUAAGUGUGGGGGUAGAAAUCUCUAGAAUUUCUAUUGUUUCUAUGUUUUUGCUUUUUGUUUUCUUAAAAAAAAAAAAAAAAAAAAAAAUCGGAAAAUUUAAAAAUCCAAAAAAAUUGUCUUGUUUCCCUUAUUGUUUUGAAUUAGAUUUUUUUGUUAGUUUCCCGACCCAAUGAUAUAAUUGGAUAAAAUUUGAAACCAUGAUCAUCAAGAACUUAGUUAACAUGUGUUUUUGUGAAAUUCCUAAUUCUCUUGUUAGUUUUGUACAUGUUUGACCAUCCUUGAAAAACCAAAUGCACAUAGCCUUGUUAAUGUGAAACUAAAGCAUGACUUAAAGCUUCAUAUGUGAAUUUAGUGACCAUAUACAUCCGAUGUGAGUUCUUUGAGCCUAUUGAAAGUGUGUGCAUUUUUCAUACACUCCUAUUAUUUCAUGUGUGAUGAACUUAUGUGAGAUACAUCUCUAGAACUUGCGUAACGAUCUUUCGAAAUGUUUGUCAUUGAUUGCAUGAACUUGGAAAUGAUAGAGGCAUUAGGUUUAUCACUAUGGCCCAAAUAACCAUGUUUCCCAAAUAAAAAUGAUAUCAUUAGAUUGCCAAUUUGAGCCGUGUAUGUUGAGCCUUUUAUUUCUUAUCACCAGAUAUGUCUACCCUUAUACCUGAAACAUUUUUCCUUACCCUUUCCAAGCGAGCAAUGCGGGAUUGUCUUAUGAGAAAUGUUUGUGAAGUACUUUGAAGGUGUUUGGCAAAAGAAUAAGUGUGGGGGUAUUUCAUGUUUGUAUUUAAAAAGAAAAGAAAAAAAAAAAAAAAAAAAAAAAAAAAAAAAGAAAGAAAGAUUGUAUACAAAGAAAAUAAAAAGUUUUUAAAGUUUCAGUUUAAGGGUGUGAUUGGAGGUAUCAGAAGAAUCGUUGGAGAGCUUGAGUUCUUAUAAAUCUAAACAAAAGAAUUGCUUGCAAUGUAGCUUGGAACUUGUGUUUUCCUAUUCUUUCAUUUCAAUAACCAUAUCCAUAAACCUCAUUACGUCCAAUAAAAGUCCUCUUGAUUUAAGUUUUGCAAUUAUGAUUGUGGAGAUGAGAUCUUUAUGCAAGCUUAUGGUAGAAAUUUCACAUUUGAUUCUUUGAGCGAAACACAUUAAAACUAAACACAUGUGUGAUUGAGUGAAUAUUCAGUGAGAAGGUCGCUAGUUUGCAUAUGAUGAUUUUAAAAAUAAAAACUUGAAAUUGCAUUAGCAUGGCUAUCUCACACACUACACUUCAAGGAUGAUUCAAAGAUUACUGCUAAUAUUUGAAUAAGAAAGAUGAACUUGGAUUAGUUCCUUGAUGCUAGCUAUGGUUCUUGAUGAUUUGUUUUCUUGAAUGAAAUUCUAUGAGGGUCACAUAGAGGGAAGCUAAUGUCUUUCAUGUUAGUACUUUUUCAUGUUUUCUUUGUUUUGCUCGAGGACUAGCAAAAGUUAAGUGUGGGGGUAUUUGAUCGGAUCAUAUUUAUAUAUAUUUUUACUUCGAAUUCACUCGUCUUUUCUUGGUUAGUUCCUUAUAUUUUUGAGCUAUUUACGUUAUUUUUGUGUUUAUAGGAUCUGUUAUGCAAUAUUACCUUUUAUUGUCGCAUGAUAAUAUUAAUUUACAUUUUAUAAACAAGGUUUGUCCCUCUCUAUGUCUAUAUGUUGAAAGACAAGCAAAAAAAUAAUAAAAAGAAGCUGCCCAAGACAGCUAAGGAGAGAAUUGAAAGAGGAAUCCAAGGAGGGCAGCGGGAGAUUAGGCAGACAAAGAAAACCUUUGCAGCUGGCGAGAGAAAGAGGAAAUGAGAAGACUGCGACAAAGGGAAUCCAAAGAAGAAAGCAGGAUAAUUAGAGGGGAGGAAAUAAAAGGAAAUCUGAGGUAUGUAGAGAGGGGGGUCUUGGAGCGGGAGAAGGGAGCUGCCCUUUGGGCAGCUCGCAGAAGGUCAGAAAAGAAGUGGGAGGAGUGCGACAACGGGGGGAUUGGUGGAAGGCAGAGGCUGCCCUUUGGCAGCAGAAGAAACGUGAGGAAGGAGAGCAGCACGGACAGGGGGAGGGAAAACAGGAGCUGCCUUCGGGCAGCGUAAGAACACAGGGGGGAUGCUGGCGUGACAGCUGCUUUGCAGCUGGUCAGAGGGAAGCUGCCAGCGCAGCUGGGGAAAGAAGGUGAGACGGACAGCAAAGCAUGAAAACGCAGAUAAAGGGAGAAGACAGGGGGGAGCUGAGA